ensembl:lncRNA
UGAAACUAACAUUCAUUUCAUAGUUCCUAUCUCUACACACACAGGUUAUAGGAAAAGUAGAAUAAUUAAAUUAUAAAUUCUUUAGAGAAAGGGGAAAAAACCUAAAUACUGGCAUCAGUGAAACCAUAAAACUGCAAGGAACAAAGACUAUAUAGAGGUCAAGGGAAAUGGAGUGUGGGUCAUGGAGAGAGAAUUCCCCAAAGAAUCGUAUUUCAGACAACUGCUGUUUAAAUGAAACCACUUCUGGGCAUAUGCUUAAAGUUUACCUAUAGUUACUGUUUUAUAUAAAAGCCAUGUUGAGGAGGCUAAAACACAUAACAAUAACAAUAUUUUUGCUGAAUCUAUUCCUUCUGUGACAUUAAAUCUUUCAGUAGUGCUCAGGAAAAUACUGUGCAGACCCCGGAAGGGGAUGCUUCUCUUAGUUUUUUCAAGGUAUGUACAGGGCACCCAAGGCACAAGAGGAUGAAACGGAGCUGCAAGGGGAAGCCGGUGAUUGAGGGCUCUCUUCCUGGCACUCUGUGAAUACCCAUGCACCUCCAGGCCUGCUGCUUUCCUGAGGACAGAAAUAUAGAAGGACAGAAAAAGGACAGGACUGACAGGAGGACAGGACAGGACACAGCUGGACAAUGGGCACCUGUCCAACAAAGGUAAGAUAGCAGCGGUUUCGUUCUCCAGAGAGAAGACUUCUAAUCCAGGUGUUGCUGAAUAUUUACUUAUUGGCUUUGGCUGAUUUGACAUUUCUAGUUUCACUUUACAUCAGUAAUGACCUACUUGAUCUCUGUGGAUCCUUAUAGCUCUACUACUUUCUUUCUUUCUUUUUAAAAUAUUUAUGUAUGUAUUCAUUCCUUUGGCUGAGCCAGGUGUUAGUUGCCACUUUCAGGAUCUUUGAUAAUCCUUGCAGCCUGUGUGGUCUUUUUAGUUGUGGGAUGCAGGAUCAUUAUCUGUGGCAUGCACGCUCUUAGUUACUGCUUGUGGGAUCUAGUUCCCUGACCAGGGAUUGAAUCUAGGCCUCCUCCAUUGGGAGCUCAGAGUCUUAGCCACUGGACCACCAGGGAAGUCCUUCCAUUUCCUUAUUAUGGGAGGAAAC